rnacentral:rRNA from 1 species
GAUGAACGCUGGCGGCGUGCCUAAUACAUGCAAGUCGAGCGAACAGACGAGGAGCUUGCUCCUCUGACGUUAGCGGCGGACGGGUGAGUAACACGUGGAUAACCUACCUAUAAGACUGGGAUAACUUCGGGAAACCGGAGCUAAUACCGGAUAAUAUAUUGAACCGCAUGGUUCAAUAGUGAAAGACGGUUUUGCUGUCACUUAUAGAUGGAUCCGCGCCGCAUUAGCUAGUUGGUAAGGUAACGGCUUACCAAGGCAACGAUGCGUAGCCGACCUGAGAGGGUGAACCGCCACACUGGAACUGAGACACGGUCCAGACUCCUACGGGAGGCAGCAGUAGGGAAUCUUCCGCAAUGGGCGAAAGCCUGACGGAGCAACGCCGCGUGAGUGAUGAAGGUCUUCGGAUCGUAAAACUCUGUUAUUAGGGAAGAACAAAUGUGUAAGUAACUAUGCACGUCUUGACGGUACCUAAUCAGAAAGCCACGGCUAACUACGUG